GCCUGCACCAUCGACCGACCAUGAUCUUCUGUGAAAGGUUUGAGUACGAGCAUACCUGUUGGGACCCGAAAGAUGGUGAACUAUGCCUGAGCAGGGCGAAGCCAGAGGAAACUCUGGUGGAGGCUCGUAGAUGUGCUGACGUGCAAAUCGCUUUUCGGACUUGGGUAUAGGGGCGAAAGACUACUAGUAGCUGGUUCCCUCCGAAGUUUCCCCCAGGAUAGCUGGAGCUUGAUCAGUUUUAUCGGGUAAAGCGAAUGAUUAGAGGUACCGGGGAUGAAACAUCCUCGACCUAUUCUCAAACUUUAAAUAGGUAAGACGUCUGGGUGUGCUUAAUUGAACCCAGGCAUUCAAUGAGAGCUCCAAGUGGG
rnacentral:rRNA from 1 species